GAAUGUCAUGCAAAUGUAACCCAAAACUAGUAGACGAAUCGAAGGAUUUGGGAGGAAGAAAGUUGAGAGAAAGAUAACUCCGAAUCCGAAAACAUUGAAGAGAAGCAUAAGCUUCACUGUCACAAUCUGCAAUUCAUCCAUUUCGACAUAUUCAAAUCAUGCCACAAAUAUAUGUAUAUGAAUAUGUAAAUGGUGAGGUCUAGUAAGAAGA